GCGAUAACAUCUUCUCCAAAGCACCUGAAGCCAAUUCUCCACUUUACCUGCGUGGCAGGGACACACGCACGCACGCAAGCGCGUGCACGCACACACGGAAAGAAAGCUAGAGUGGACCAGAACCCGCUCAGCUAUUCUUGUGAGUCGGCAAAGCCUGAUGGAUGGAUGAGGGGGCAAGGCAGCACUUUCUCUGCUGAUUGGCAGUGGCACUUCUGAAUGGGAACUGCAUCACGAAAAUACUCGGACGAGGGAGGCGGCUAGUACAUCAUGAUCUCCUUGGGGGCGUCCUCGGUGGGCCGCUGCUGUUCGCGCCGCUGAGUGUAGGCGGCGCGGUCGUACAUAUAGAUGAGGCCGAUGGCGAGCAGCGACAGC